rnacentral:lncRNA from 1 species
GUUGAUCUCCUGUCACUCUGGCGGCAAUCCCAUCUGGUGUUGGGAAAGUUUGAUCUUCAAAAUUAGCUUUUGCCAGUAAAUUUCCUAGCAACAUGUCCCGUUAUUCUUGUUUUCACUUUUUUGUCUUUGCAACUCUACUUUCUAUGAAAUGCAAUCUGGCACAAAGUGGACGAGGUGCACGUUCUUGUUGAUCAAAUCCCCUAACACAAACAAAUCCUGAAAUGAAGCAUCAAAAUGUUAAUAGGCAUGGCAAGAUUGAACAUUAAUAUUUCCUAGAUGUAUAUGGGAACUACACUUAUUGUAAUGUGUGAUGGUACUCAUGAUGUUUUUAGGGAACUAUUGGCUGACUAGUCUGGUAUUGAAUCACCUCAGAAUGUUGCAUGUGUGUGCGCAUACACACACAUUUGGAUCAAUCUUUUGAUUGAUGAGGCUUAUUGUUUGCUUUUGGAAUCGUUAUGUUUGUGUAGGUGACGGUUUAAUGUGCUGUUGGAAAACAUGGCCCGGUAAAAAGGAGCUGAGGCUGAAAACAGAUAUGAAACACAGUUUUGACAACCAAAAAAAAUUCACCAAGGCUCAGUAUAUCCACCGGGUUAGUAGAUCAUCAUGUAUUUCCUUUGAGCAACCAAUUGAAAUGUUUUAUUCUUUGCUCUGUUAUUAAAAUUUUGAAGUGUGAUAAGAGAAGAAAUAAAACAAAUAAUUUAAAAUAGUCUGCAUACCUCUCCAAAAGCAAUGCUGAAUUUCUUGCGUUGAGAGACCUAGUAGACAUAAGAGUUUUUAGUGAGUACUUUUAACUUCUUGGAAAAACUGGUUUAGAAUAGAUAUUAGUAGAUGGAUAUGUGGAGUUUUUUUUCUUCCUACCUUUGAAAAUUGACGAUACAGAGGUUCCGAAAUAUACCGUCCUCCUUGGCAAAUUCCAUAUCCAUUCCCUAGGGAUAUCUAUGGGUUUAACGCUGGAUGCGUGGUCCGCAAAUAACUUCAUGAUAAAAAAAGGUUUUAUAGACCCUUGAUGGUGAAUAUUGAAAUUUAAAAUAAGGGGUAUCUGUUAAGGCAAUUGAACAGUAACAAAACCUAGAUUACACUUACCUCAUUAACUUGGAAGUAUGUCCCAUUGAGUGGAAAGCUUCCCCUCAUUGCUGUUCGACACGGUAUCUGUAUAUGGAAUAACAUUUGUGAUAGUUAUUGAAAUUAAUAUAAGGCUAGAAAAUGGAGUGUCUUUCAUGAUCUUGUCUGUAUCCAUGAAUUAAUCAUUACCAGAAGUGUUCCUCUCACAAUUUGUGAAUUAGCUUCUUUAAUGCUGUUGCAUGAAAGGCAUGUCUUGUCAUUGCACAAGUUGGUCGAGUCUUGCGAUCCACACUUCCUUUGUGGUGGUUCAAUGGAAUUUGCAGUCUCACCUAGUAUUCAAAUAUCAUAAAUACGGGUGUCAACAUAUUAUCUGACUUUGACCUAGCAUAUAUGUAAUAUGAUCUUGCCUAUGCUUCAUUUUUGCUUUUUAAUCUGUCUCUUUUAGAUGUACUUGUGCAUUGAUUUUAGUAUACUGGUAGCUAUUGGGCGACUAUUGUUUGCAUAUGUUAAUUAUUAAUUGAGAUUAUUACAGGUAUCAUCUGCUAACCUGGUGACCAUAUUGCAAGAAGAUAUGGACUUGGGUCAUCAGGUUCCCGCUUAUCCAUCUGUAAAUUUUCGUAAACAAACAAAUAUAAAAAAUAUACCAAGCUGAUAACUGCGUGUUUCAGUACAAAGAAAAGAAUAACUAACCUUUUCCAACAGAGGGUGUGAAUCUGGAAGUUCAUAUCUGCAUCAAUCAGUGUUAUAAAGCAGAAUUUAGAUUUCCAUUAAAAAAAUAGAUCAGUCAUAUAGUCUAGAGAGUCAAGGAAUUUAUAACAAGUUUACUUAUGGCAAUGACUACUGUGAUGUUUUUUAAGAACGUCUUCUAGAAAUUAGAGAUGCUGCAUACAAUGCAUGUACUUACACUUGGUGUUCUGUUCUUAGCCGGCUCACAUUCUUCAGUUUUGCUGUAGGGAUAGAAGCAGACUCUGGAUUCCAGGCAACAAGGGCCUUAGACUGGUCACCCUCAUGUUCUUGCAUCUGGUUCUGUACAUUUUUUGCCAAC